rnacentral:tRNA from 1 species
GCCCGGUAGCUCAGAGGUAGAGCUCCUGCAUAUAAGCGGAGGUCUCAGGUUCGAAUCCUGCCCGGUGGCU